rnacentral:rRNA from 1 species
ACACGUCUACAUUAGACUACCCCCGUAGUCCCAGCCGUAAACUAUGCGCGUUAGGUGUAUCGGUGACCACGAGUCACCGAGGUGCCGAAGGGAAACCGUGAAACGUGCCGCCUGGGAAGUACGGUCGCAAGGCUAGAAACUUAAAGGAAUUGGCGGGGAGCACCACAACGGGUGGAGCCUGCGGUUUAAUUGGACUCAACGCCGGGAAGCUCACCGGAUAAGACAGCGGAAUGAUUGCCGGGCUGAAGACUCUGCAUGACUAGCUG